ensembl:lncRNA
CCCACAGUUUGGAUGACGAGGAGACACAAGCCUGAGACCAACACUUGCCCCAGGAAAGUCACAAAGCCACUCAGAAUCACAAAGGGACUCUUCUGUUUUUAAUACUUCCUAGGAUGAGGGUUGAUGACACUUGUUUAGAUUGGCACUGAAGAGGAAUCAUUCUGUUGUGAACCCAAGUUGCUUAGAAAGGAGUUGAUGAUACUGCCAACAAUUUGAUUAGAACAGGCACAUGCUGCGGGGGAUAAAGUAAGUGGAAGAAGUUACUUCUCACACUUUUCUACUGAGAUGCAGGCCACACAAUUAAAACCCUAAGCAUGACAUGGCUUUACAGGAGACUCGGUUAAAUACUAAGCUGAAUAAGGAUUUCAAGAGCUGCAACUGAGAUUCUCAAGGUAGAGAUUCAAAGAGACCGGGGGAAGAGUGAGCUAUGAGUUCAAUGGAUUAGACUGGAGAAACUAUCUAUGUCUUAUCAUCAGUUACGGAAACUGGUGAUAUAGUGAGAAAAACCUGGAACUCUCACUUGAGGAUUGGAGGCUCGUCAUUUAUGAUCUGACAUAUAUUAAUUAUUUUGAUCUCUAAAAGGAGGGCAAUGGCAUCUACUUUAAGAGGUAUUGAGGGGCAGAAAAGAAAAGAGCUAUUGAAAAAUGAUGGGAGUACCACAUGAAGAUUCUGGCACAGACUCAGUACACGUGUGUUUGUUUAAUUGAUUUUACUGCGAAGACUCAGACAACUGGGCAGAAGUGGGAUUCCAGGAAGGAGAUGGCCAGGUCAAAAUGCCAAUGACUGAUGCUGAAGGAACUACAGGACAAGCGCAUUCCAUCAUUUCUGCAACCAGCUAUUUGCUUGGCACUUCCUCAAAUAUAUCUAUCCCUACCGAAAAGGAGCUGCUGAAGAUAAAGAGGAAGAACAUGUUUUGACAUAUUUCACCCUCAGCACAGGGCUAUCUGACUUCAUCCAGACAGCUCAGGCUCAGCCAAGCGGUCAUCACUUGCCAGCAUCCAGUCUCCCGUGCGAAUGUACGAAAGACCCCUCUCCUCCCCAGCUCAUCACUGACAUGCCCUGGGCCACCUUGCCUGCCAAGCCUCCCCCACUGCUGUUUCUCAACUCAACAACACACAAGACACAGGAUGGAGGACGAGUGGUGGGAUGGUGGUAUCCAGUUUCAUAUCCACACAGAAGAGGAAAACCAAACUCAGAAGGGGAGGAGUGAGUAGAUGAAGAAAAGUCAAAAGUGGAGUCCCAUCACUUAGAAGAAAUGAGGAAGACGUAUUCAACAUUCUCCCAACCCCAAUACAACAGUUUUUUCUUUCAAUUUGAUAGUAAG